rnacentral:misc_RNA from 1 species
UGAAAGGGAAGAAUACCCAGUUGGGCAUUUGAGACAAACAGAGAAACAAUCAUUUUUAAAGAUACUCUUGAACUGGAAAAAGAAAACAUUGCAGGCUAUUCACAGUGAGAGAGCCGAGCUUUAGGGUUUACCAGGUUCAGCAAAUUAUGAAAGAGCUGAAAUAUUCUUCUCAAUGAAAUCUGAGCAGUAAAUCAUCAAGCCGAGCAGGACCCAACUCCAAAGAACAAGGCAGUUUUAGGUUUUUUU